GCUGGGUGUGGUGGUGUGCACCUGUAAUCCCAGAUACUCAGGAGGCUGAGACAGGAGGAUUGCAAGGUAGAGGCCAGCCCAGGCAACUUAGCAGGACUCUGUCUUAA
rnacentral:sRNA from 1 species